ensembl:lncRNA
CAGUAUUCUAGUCAAUGAUCUAGUUAGUAGUCUAGUUAGUAUUCAGUAAUCUAGUCAAUGAUCUAGUCAGUAGUCUAGUCAGUCAGUAGCCUAGUUAGGGGUCUAGUCAGUCAGUAGUCUAGUUAGUCAGUAGGUCUAGUUAGUAGUCAGUAGGUCUAGUUAGUAGUCAGUAGUCUGCUUAGUAGUCAGUAGUCUAGUCAAUGAUCUAGUUAGUAGUCUAGUUAGUAUUCAGUAAUCUAGUCAAUGAUCUAGUCAGUAGUCUAGUCAGUCAGUAGCCUAGUUAGGGGUCUAGUCAGUCAGUAGUCUAGUUAGUCAGUAGUCUAGUCAAUGAUCUAGUUAGUAGUCUAGUUAGUAUUCAG